CGGAGGACCUCGACAAGGUCCCCGGACGAGGGUUCAGUACCCGGUGAGCGACAAGACUGGCCAGG
rnacentral:ncRNA from 1 species